CACGUAGGGCGCAAGCGUUGUCCGGAAUUAUUGGGCGUAAAGAGCUCGUAGGCGGUCCGUCACGUCCGCUGUGAAAACCCAGGGCUCAACCCUGGGCUUGCAGUGGAUACGGGCAGACUAGAGGUAGGUAGGGGAGAAUGGAAUUCCCGGUGUAGCGGUGAAAUGCGCAGAUAUCAGGAGGAACACCUAUGGCGAAGGCAGCUCGCUGGGACGGUACUGACGCUGAGGCGCGAAAGCGUGGGGAGCGAACAGG
rnacentral:rRNA from 1 species